rnacentral:rRNA from 1 species
AGAACGAACGCUGGCGGCAGGCUUAACACAUGCAAGUCGAACGGUUGUAGCAAUACAGCAGUGGCAGACGGGUGAGUAACACGUGGGAACCUUCCUAGGGGUACGGAACAACUCAGGGAAACUUGAGCUAAUACCGUAUACGUCCGUGAGGAGAAAGAUUUAUCGCCCCUAGACGGGCCCGCGUAGGAUUAGGUAGUUGGUGAGGUAACGGCUCACCAAGCCUACGAUCCUUAGCUGAUCUGAGAGGAUGAUCAGCCACACUGGGACUGAGACACGGCCCAGACUCCUACGGGAGGCGGCAGUGGGGGAAUCUUGGACAAUGGGCGCAAGCCUGAUCCAGCCAUGCCGCGUGAGUGAAGAAAGGCCUGGUUGUAAGACUCUUUACCUAGGACGAGAAUAGAGUACCUGAGAAGUAAGACCCGGCAACUACGU